rnacentral:rRNA from 1 species
UGACCUACGGCGCGCAGCAGUAGGGGAUAUUGCACAAUGGGGGAAACCCUGAUGCAGCGACGCCGCGUGAGUGAAGAAGCAUUCCGGUAUGUAAAGCGCCAUCAGCAGGGAAGAAAAUGACAGUACCUGACCAAGAAGCCCCGGCUAACUACGUGCCAGCAGCCGCGGCAAUACGUAGGGGGCAAGCGUUAUCCGGAUUUACUGGGUGUAAAGGGAGCGUAGACGGUUAUGUAAGUCUGGAGUGAAAGCCC